AGUGAACGCUGGCGGUAGGCCUAACACAUGCAAGUCGAACGGCAGCACAGUAAGAGCUUGCUCUUACGGGUGGCGAGUGGCGUACGGAUGAGGAAUACAUCGGAAUCUACUUUUUCGUGGGGGAUAACGUAGGGAAACUUACGCCAAUACCGCAUACGACCUACGGGUGAAAGCAGGGGAUCUUCGGACCUUGCGCGAUUGAACGAGCCGAUGUCGGAUUAGCUAGUUGGCGGGGUAAAGGCCCACCAAGGCGACGAUCCGUAGCUGGUCUGAGAGGAUGAUCAGCCACACUGGAACGGAGACACGGUCCAGACGCCUACGGGAGGCAGCAGUGGGGAAUAUUGGACAAUGGGCGGAAGCCUGAUCCAGCCAUACCGCGUGGGUGAAGAAGGCCUUCGGGUUGUAAAGCCCUUUCGUUGGGAAAGAAAAGCAGCAGGUUAAUACCCCGCUGUUCUGACGGUACCCAAAGAAUAAGCACCGGCUAACUUCGUG
rnacentral:rRNA from 1 species